AUGGCCAAAUGAGAUCCUGUGAAACCAAGAGGCAAAAUGUCCCCAUAUGCAUUCUUGGUGCAAAUCUGCCACAGGAGCACAAGAAGAAGCAUCUGGAUGCUUCUGUUAACUUCUCAGAAUUCUGUAAAACACCAUGUCUGCAAAAGGAAAGGGAAAGAUGGAAGACAUGGCAAAGGCUGACGAGGCUUAUUAUGAGAGAUCAAAACCCACACUCCCCUCAAAAGGAGAAACCAAAAAAGAAUUUCAAGGACUCUAAUGUACUCAAGAAGCCUCCUAGCCUUCUUGUUCUGUUCUGAGUACCUCCCCAAAAUCAAAGGAGAGCAACCUGGCUUAUCCAUCAGUGAUGUUGCAAAGAAACUAGGAGAAAUGUGAAACAGUUUUGCUAAGGAUGACUAGCAGCCCUGUAAGAAGAAGGCUGCCAAAGCUGAAGGAGAAAUAUGAAAAGGGGAUUGCUACCUACAGAGCUAAAGGAAAACCUGCUGCAGCAAAAAGGAAGUGGUCAAGGCUGAAAAGAGCAAGAAAAAGAAGAAAGCACAAGAUGAGGAAGAUGAAGAAUGUGAGGAAGAGGAGGAAGAAGAA
rnacentral:lncRNA from 1 species